UUCUGCGUAUCCACAUCUGUAGCUACAAAAACUCUAAAUUGCUUAGUAGCAAUAAAAAUAUCUACUACUUCAAGUGAUGCAAUUUUUGCGAUUCAAAAUUUUAUGCCAAACUGGGUGCUUCAUGACACAUAACGUAUGAUAACUUUUCCAGCCAAUAUUAUUAAAUAAAGAUUUGUUUUAUUACAAAUUUGUGACAGUAGCACGAAUAUGGAAAGAUAUAUGUUUCGUUAUAGGGUCCAUGUACAUAUAUAUUUAUAUCAAGCAGAACGUUUUAUCCGUUCAACCUACUUAUAAGUAAGAAGUUUUAUUCUCAUGUUUUAAUAACAUCGAUUAUUGGAAUUGGCUGCCAACCACUAUGAGGCCCAAAAAUCUGCUAGAAACAAAAAUCUGCCAGUUAUAACUAAAAAUUACCGACUCUCACAAAGGAUGAAUGCAACUGAAAUCUCAGCAAGCUGGAGGUUCAUAACAAGUCCAGCCUAAUCCACAAGCUUUGGAGGUUGCAUUUUAAAGCCAGUAUUAUGGCCAAAAAGGAAUGUAGUAACAUAUAGUGGAGUAACAUUUGAUGAUCGAAUCUCCAAAGUAUGGAACCAUGAGUUUAAAUAUCUUGCUAAAAGCUUUAUGAUUUAGAUCUAAUAUGCCAAGUAGAACUUGAGUAAAGUGUUUCGAUCUUUUAAAACUCAAAAGAUAAGGUUCUGCACAAAUGUAUGCAUGUUUAAUUGUGAUAACACACAAAGCCAACAAAAGGUUUAAAUGGUGUGUGUUGACAACAUAUCAUAUUCCCAAAUUAGGUUAAGUUGUUAAGAUUCUACGUAAACCCUGGUGGAUUUCAUUUUAGUAAAUAUAACAUAAGCUAAAUGCAACUAUAAUACUCUGCAAGAAUAUCUACAGAUAGACUUUGGAGCAAUGUUGCAAAUCAUCCUUAAGUUAUUCAACCUUUUACCUAAAUAUUUUCCCAUGUUUGGUCAUAUGUAGAUGAUGGAUUAAACCUGAUAUGCAGGGUUGCAUACUAGGUUCUUAGGCUAGAAAUCCAUCAAACAUAAAAGGGAACAAGAAGUGUACAACUCUUCAAUCUUUUAGGGAAUAUAAUUUGUUUUCUUCACCUACUGAAUUUACUCAAAGAAACAAUGGUGAUUUUAAAUCCAUCUCAAUCUAACAAUAUGAACN
rnacentral:lncRNA from 1 species